UACAGAGGUCUCAAGCGUUGUUCGGAUUCAUUGGGCGUAAAGGGUGCGUAGGUGGCGCGCUAAGUCGGGUGUGAAAUUUCGGAGCUUAACUCCGAAACUGCAUUCGAUACUGGCGUGCUUGAGGACUGGAGAGGAGACUGGAAUUCAUGGUGUAGCAGUGAAAUGCGUAGAGAUCAUGAGGAAGACCAGUGGCGAAGGCGGGUCUCUGGAUCGGUACUGACGCUGAGGUGCGAAAGCGUGGGGAGCAAACAGG
rnacentral:rRNA from 1 species